CUGUAAUGGUUCUUUUGAUUUCUCCCAACUUCACUGACAAAUUAUAUCUUCACCUGUUAAUUAUACACACACUCUGAGUACGGCUGAAGGCCCAAAUGCAUCAGUGUGCAGUGUUUUAGUUAUGUUUCUAUUAAUAGUGAUGAUGGACAAGAAGUGAAUAAAGGCUUUUUAACUUUUUUGGACCGGAAGAAGUGCCUUGGAUUUCUUUAUAUUAAUAGAGUUAGCUUAUAUCGAAGUUAGCUAGACUCGUUUAGCAAGCCUAAUUUCACAAGUCUUUUUUUUUUGUUUGUUUUUUUCCCCUGCUGAUAAGGAGUAAACCAUUGGUCGGGUUUUAAUUGUUGCACUAACAUUUAAACCAUGUGAGUUUAAUGGCAAAGAAAGCCAUCAAUUACAACAUUUAAACAAAACGUGAUCAUUAGUAAUGAGCUCCUGACUUACCUGGACAGUGGUGUGUGUGUGUGUGUGUGUGUGUGUGUGGGUAGCGAGUCAGUUCGUUAAACCAUUGCGUCGCAAAAUGAUUGACUGUUUCGAAGCGCUCCAGUCGGAUCGUAUCACGAAUCAUUUGAUUCAGAUCAGAUAUGUAAGGAAUAAUUGACGACGGGCCAAAAAUAAUGCACACCGGAGGUGUAACACCACCUCAGAUGUACAUUAUUUUUCUCUUUGUCUAACUAUUACAAGUAGAGAUGGGUUUCAAGAACUGGUACUACUUUGGUUCCUGACUUGUUCAGUACUGAAAAAUGGAUAUAAGCUACAGGAUCAAUAGUGCUGCUAUCAGUAUUUUAGUAACGUUGAUUCAUUACCCCUUUAGACACAACCACAUAUUAUCCAAACCAUAUCCAAGUGGAUGGAAGCGAGGAUCCAGGAUCAAGAAAUCAUUCAUCAUGAAGACUAUUCCAUAGGAAGCAGCGAAUUCUGGAUCAUCCUGACCAUUCUGUUGUCCUGGAUUUGAAGACAUGCUGGAACUGCAUUUCUCAUGGUUGAAAGAUUUGUGCAGCGGUAUCCAGACAUAUAAGCACCCUUCCUGGACCCACAUGACUAAAGGCUCUGGAGGAGAGACAGAUUCAAGGGAAAGAUGAAAAAUAAGGAAGUCUGGGAACGACUGAAGAAGACCACAGCGAGGGAAGGAAGUAAUCAUCACAAUGUAAGUUCUUUGAGAAUGUGUGUAUUGUGUUACGAAUGGAUUCGUGUGUUGCUAGGGAAACUGUAUAUCAUUUGCUCAUGUG